CCACUACCUCUACACACACAACCACCCCAUAGACUACUUCAUACUGCUACUACAGGUCAGUGUGUGUGUGACCACUACCUCUACACACACAACCACCCCAUAGACUACUUCAUACUGCUACUACAGGUCAGUGUGUGUGUGUGACCACUACCUCUACACACACAACCACCCCAUAGACUACUUCAUACUGCUACUACAGGUCAGUGUGUGUGACCACUACCUCUACACACACAACCACCCCGUAGACUACUUCAUACUGUUACUACAGGUCAGUGUGUGUGACCACUACCUCUACACACACAACCACCCCAUAGACUACUUCAUACUGCUACUACAGGUCAGUGUGUGUGUGACCACUACCUCUACACACACAACCACCCCGUAGACUACUUCAUACUGUUACUACAGGUCAGUGUGUGUGACCACUACCUCUACACACACAACCACCCCAUAGACUACUUCAUACUGCUACUACAGGUCAGUGUGUGUGACCACUACCUCUACACACACAACCACCCCAUAGACUACUUCAUACUGCUACUACAGGUCAGUGUGUGUGACCACUACC